rnacentral:snoRNA from 1 species
GAGUAUAGAGGAAAAAGAGAGAAAAUGGAAAUGAGAAUGAAAGUGGAAAUGAGAUUGAGAGGGAAGAUGAGAGGAGAGGAUGGAAGGGAGGAGUAACAAAAGUGAAAACAAAAACUAAAUACUGAAAUCUAUUUCAAGUUUUUGUUUUCACUUUUGUUACUCAUUCCUCUCAUCUUCUCUCUCAAUCUCAUCCUUACUCCCAUUCUUACUCUCGUUUUCCUCUAUACUCU